UACGGAGACCUCGAGCGUUACUCGGAUUUACUGGGCGUAAAGGGUCCGUAGGUGGCCAGAUGUGUCGGGUGUGAAAUCCUGCAGCUUAACUGCAGAACUGCGCUCGAAACUAUUUGGCUAGAGACUCGGAGGGGUAAGCGGAAUUCCAGGUGUAGCGGUGAAAUGCGUAGAUAUCUGGAGGAACACCAACGGCGAAGGCAGCUUACUGGACGAGAUCUGACACUGAGGGACGAAAGUGUGGGGAGCAAAAGGG
rnacentral:rRNA from 1 species